rnacentral:rRNA from 1 species
UAAAACGUAGGACGCAAGCGUUAUCCGGAGUUACUGGGCGUAAAGCGCGGGCAGGCGGUUCAUUAAGUCUGAUGUGAAAGCGCUCGGCUCAACCGAGCGAUGCCAUUGGAAACUAGCGAACUGGAGUCUGGCAGAGGUAGGCGGAAUUCCGGGUGGAGUGGUGAAAUGCGUAGAGAUCCGGAGGAACACCAGAGGCGAAGGCGGCCUACUGGGCCAGUACUGACGCUGAGCCGCGAAAGCCAGGGGAGCGAACGGGAUUAGAAACCCCGGUAGUCCUGGCCGUAAACGAUGUGUGCUGGGUGGUGGGGGGUCUCCCUUCACUGCCGAAGCUAACGCGAUAAGCACACCGCCUGGGGAGUACGGUCGCAAGGCUA